rnacentral:misc_RNA from 2 species
AACAAUUGGUUAACAAAAUAGCCCCUUUAUAUAGCGAUAUAUAAUUGAACUCAGAAUAUCAGGGAAAGUCCUUAAAGCUUUAAUUACCAAGCAUUAGAGAAAUCAAAAUGUGGCAUUGCUAAUCACAAUGGUAUGGUAAUAAGAUUAAAGAUUGGAUAAUCCUGAGACACAGUCCUAAGUCAAUUGAUAAGGAAAGGUCGCAACGACUAUCAAUGAGUAUCUUAUGAAAGAUAAUGGUAUAGUCUAUUCCCAUUUUUAAAUAUCUG